rnacentral:rRNA from 1 species
CUGAUGGCGACCGGCGUACGGGUGAGUAACGCGUAUCCAACCUGCCCUUUACUAUGGGACAGCCCGUCGAAAGGCGGAUUAAUACCGUAUGUUGUCAUGUUGAUGCAUAUUUUCAUGACCAAAGGCUUUGGCCGGUAAAGGAUGGGGAUGCGUCUGAUUAGCUUGCCGGCGGGGUAACGGCCCACCGGGGCGACGAUCAGUAGGGGUUCUGAGAGGAAGGUCCCCCACAUUGGAACUGAGACACGGUCCAAACUCCUACGGAAGGCAGCAG